rnacentral:rRNA from 1 species
UACGGAGGGUGCGAGCGUUGUCCGGAAUCGAUUGGGCGUAAAGGGCGCGUGAGGUGGCGGCUUAAGCGUGCGGUGAAAGCUCGGGGCUCAACCCCGAGUCGGCCGUGCGAACUGAGUCGCUUGAGCACUGUAGAGGCAGGCGGAAUCCCGGGUGUAGCGGUGGAAUGCGUAGAGAUCCGGAAGAACAACCGGUGGCGAAGGCGGCCUGACUGGGCGAGUACGCUGACACUGAGCGCGA